CUACUAGACACCGGCCAGUCAUUCAACGGCAGGCUGGCUUCGGAUAGCUUCGCGCUGGGCUGGAGCUUAGCUAAUGUCGUUGUAGGCUUGGUGACUCUUCUUACAAGGACUGGCGGUUAUUAGCCGCACGAAAUAGAGCAAUAACAGGUCUGUGAUGCCCUUAGAUGUUCUGGGCCGCACACGCGCUACACUGGAGCUAUCAGCUAGUUUUUCCCUGGGCGAGAGCUCCGGGUAAACUGUUGAAUCAGCUUCCUGGCAGGGAUCGGAGCUUGCAAUUAUUCUCCGUGAACCAGGAAUGCCCAGUAGGAUCGAGUUAUCAGCUUGAUUCGAUUAAGUCCCUGCCCUUUGUACACACCGCCCGUCGCUACUACCGAUUGAAUGUAUUAGUGAGAUCCAUGGACGGCUACAGGCAAGCUUUGACGAACUAGUCGCGUGGCUGGAAGUCGAUCAAGCUGAUGCAUUUAGAGGAAGUAAAAGUCGUAACAAGGUAUCCCGUAG
rnacentral:rRNA from 1 species